AUUACAGCCAGCAUAACACAAUGAGAAUUACAUCCCAAUAUAACUGCUGGUAAGUUUACAAGAAACCAAAUCACACUGCAAUCACAGUGAAGUCAAGGAGCUUGCUUCUGCAGACUGCCCUUCUUGGGAAAGAUGGAUCUGCCUAGGAGAGGACCCCCC
rnacentral:lncRNA from 11 species